GCCAUAAUGGCUGAAACCUCAGCUGGUAGAGCAUGAGACUCUUGAUCUCGGGGUCAUGGGUUCAAGCUCCACGUUGGGCA